AGCAGCCGCGGUAACACCGGCGGCCCGAGUGGUGAUCGUGAUUAUUGGGUCUAAAGGGUCCGUAGCCGGUUGGUCAGUCCUCCGGGAAAUCUGAUAGCUCAACUAUUAGGCUUUCGGGGGAUACUGCCAGACUUGGAACCGGGAGAGGUAAGAGGUACUACAGGGGUAGGAGUGAAAUCUUGUAAUCCCUGUGGGACCACCUGUGGCGAAGGCGUCUUACCAGAACGGGUUCGACGGUGAGGGACGAAAGCUGGGGGCACGAACCGGAUUAGAUACCCGGGUAGUCCCAGCCGUAAACGAUGCUCGCUAGGUGUCAGGCAUGGCGCGACCGUGUCUGGUGCCGCAGGGAAGCCGUGAAGCGAGCCACCUGGGAAGUACGGCCGCAAGGCUGAAACUUAAAGGAAUUGGCGGGGGAGCACAACAACGGGUGGAAGCCUGCGGUUUAAUUGGACUCAACGCCGGACAACUCACCGGGGGCGACAGCAAUAUGUAGGCCAAGCUGAAGACUUUGCCUGAAUCGCUGAGGGGUGGUGCAUGG
rnacentral:rRNA from 1 species